GAUCAUGGCUCAGAUUGAACGCUGGCGGCAGGCUUAACACAUGCAAGUCGAACGGUAACAUAAAGAAGCUUGCUUCUUUGAUGACGAGUGGCGGACGGGUGAGUAAUGCUUGGGAAUCUAGCUUAUGGAGGGGGGAUAACUCGGGAAACUGUAGCUAAUACCGCGUAAUAUCGAAAGAUUAAAGUGUGGGACCUUCGGGCCACAUGCCAUAAGAUGAGCCCAAGUGGGAUUAGGUAGUUGGUGAAGGG
rnacentral:rRNA from 1 species